GAUGAACGCUGGCGGCGUGCCUAACACAUGCAAGUCGAGCGGAUGAACGCUGCUUGUUCCUGGCUUCCGCGGGGGACGGGGGAGUGAUGCCUAGGAAUCUGCCUGGUAGUGGGGGAUGACGUCCGGAGGCGGGCGCUGAUACCACAUACGUCCAGAUCGUGAAACUGGGGGAUCUUCGGACCUCACGCGAUCAGGUGACCCUAGUUCGGAUUAGCUAGUUGGUGGGGUAAGGGCCUACCAAGCCGACGAUCCGUAGCUGGUCUGAGAGGAUGAUCAGUCACACUGGAACUGAGACACGGUCCAGACUCCUACGGGAGGCAGCAGUAGGGAAUAUUCGGCAAUGGGCGAAAGCCUGAUCCAGCAAUGCCGCGUGUGUGAAGAAGGUCUUCGGAUCGUAAAGCACUGUUAGUAGGGAGGAACGGCAGUAAGAUAAAACCUAGCUGUUUUGACGGUACCGACACAAUAAGCACCGGCUAACUACGUG
rnacentral:rRNA from 1 species